UGCCAGCGAUCCGCCGGCGUUCCUCCGAUGACCCGGCGGGCAGCUUCCGGGAAACCAGAGCCUUUGGGUUCCGGGGGAAGUAUGGUUGCAAAGCUGAAACUUAAAGGAAUUGACGGAAGGGCACCACCAGGAGUGGAGCCUGCGGCUUAAUUUGACUCAACACGGGAAAACUCACCAGGCCCGGACACCGGAAGGAUUGACAGAUUGAGAGCUCUUUCUUGAUUCGGUGGGUGGUGGUGCAUGGCCGUUCUUAGUUGGUGGAGCGAUUUGUCUGGUUAAUUCCGAUAACGAACGAGACUCUAGCCUACUAACUAGACGCAUCCGGUAUCCUUGAAUUGUGCUACCGGCGAUCAAAUCUCUUCUUAGAGGGACAGGCGGCUUCUAGCCGCACGAGACUGAGCAAUAACAGGUCUGUGAUGCCCUUAGAUGUCCUGGGCCGCACGCGCGCUACACUGAACGAGACAGCGUGUCUUCCCUGUCCGAAAGGACCGGGUAACCCGCUGAACCUCAUUCGUGCUAGGGAUUGGGGCUUGCAAUUGUUCCCCAUGAACGAGGAAUUCCCAGUAAGCGCGAGUCAUAAGCUCGCGUUGAUUACGUCCCUGCCCUUUGUACACACCGCCCGUCGCUACUACCGAUUGAAUGAUUUAGUGAGGUCUUCAGACCGGGGCGCGAAGACGACGCAAGUCGCCUCCGAUGUUGUCGGAAAGAUGACCAAACUUGAUCAUUUAGAGGAAGUAAAAGUCGUAACAAGGUUUCCGUA
rnacentral:rRNA from 1 species